UACGGAGGGUGCUAGCGUUGUUCGGAAUUACUGGGCGUAAAGGGCGCGUAGGCGGCCGUUUGCGUCGGAUGUGAAAGCCCGGGGCUCAACCUCGGAACGGCAUUCGAUACGGGACGGCUGGAGACCGGGAGAGGAGAGUGGAAUAGCCAGUGUAGAGGUGAAAUGCGCAGAUAUCAGGAGGAACACCGGUGGCGAAGGCGGGUCUCUGGGCCGAUACUGACGCUGAGGAGCGAAGGCCAGGGGAGCAAACGGG
rnacentral:rRNA from 1 species